GACGAACGCUGGCGGCGUGCCUAAUACAUGCAAGUCGAACGAACCGCGACUAGGUGCUUGCACUUGGUCAAGGUGAGUGGCGAACGGGUGAGUAACACGUGGGUAACCUACCUCAUAGUGGGGGAUAACAGUCGGAAACGACUGCUAAUACCGCAUAGGACAUAGGAUCACAUGAUCCAGUGAGGAAAGGUGGCGCAAGCUAUCGCUAAGAGAUGGACCCGCGGUGCAUUAGCUAGUUGGUAGGGUAAAGGCCUACCAAGGCGAUGAUGCAUAGCCGACCUGAGAGGGUGAUCGGCCACAUUUGGACUGAGACACGGCCCAAACUCCUACGGGAGGCAGCAGUAGGGAAUCUUCCGCAAUGGACGCAAGUUUGACGGAGCAACGCCGCGUGAGUGAAGAAGGUCUUCGGAUCGUAAAGCUCUGUUGUUAGAGAAGAACAGCGCAUAGAGUAACUGUUAUGCGUGUGACGGUAUCUAACCAGAAAGCCACGGCUAACUACGUG
rnacentral:rRNA from 1 species